rnacentral:rRNA from 1 species
GAUGAACGCUGGCGGCGUGCCUAAUACAUGCAAGUCGAGCGAACGGACGAGAAGCUUGCUUCUCUGAUGUUAGCGGCGGACGGGUGAGUAACACGUGGAUAACCUACCUAUAAGACUGGGAUAACUUCGGGAAACCGUAGCUAAUACCGGAUAAUAUUUUGAACCGCAUGGUUCAAAAGUGAAAGACGGUCUUGCUGUCACUUAUAGAUGGAUCCGCGCUGCAUUAGCCAGUUGGUAAGGUAACGGCUUACCAAGGCAACGAUGCAUAGCCGACCUGAGAGGGUGAUCGGCCACACUGGAACUGAGACACGGUCCAGACUCCUACGGGAGGCAGCAGUAGGGAAUCUUCCGCAAUGGGCGAAAGCCUGACGGAGCAACGCCGCGUGAGUGAUGAAGGUCUUCGGAUCGUAAAACUCUGUUACUAGGGAAGAACAUAUGUGUAAGUAACUGUGCACAUCUUGACGGUACCUAAUCAGAAAGCCACGGCUAACUACGUG